AUGGUAGUAGGUGACUUUGAACGGGGUAUGGUAGUAGGUGACUUUGAACGGAGUAUGGUAUUAGGUGCCUUUGAACGGGGUAUGGUAAUAGGUGACUUUGAACGGGGUAUGGUAGUAGGUGACUUUGAACGGGGUAUGGUAAUAGGUGACUUUGAAUGGGGUAUGGUAGUAGGUGACUUUGAACGGGGUAUGGUAGUAGGUGACUUUGAACGGGGUAUGGUAAUAGGUGACUUUGAACGGGGUAUGGUAAUAGGUGACUUUGAACGGGGUAUGGUAUUAGGUGCCUUUGAACGGGGUAUGGUAAUAGGUGACUUUGAACGGGGUAUGGUAUUAGGUGCCUUUGAACGGGGUAUGGUAGUAGGUGACUUUGAACGGGGUAUGGUAUUAGGUGACUUUGAACGGGGUAUGGUAGUAGGUGCCUUUGAACGGGGUAUGGUAAUAGGUGACUUUGAACGGGGUAUGGUAAUAGGUGACUUUGAACGGGGUAUGGUAUUAGGUGCCUUUGAACGGGGUAUGGUAAUAGGUGACUUUGAACGGGGUAUGGUAGUAGGUGACUUUGAACGGGGUAUGGUAGUAGGUGCCUUUGAACGGGGUAUGGUAGUAGGUGACUUUGAACGGAGUAUGGUAUUAGGUGCCUUUGAACGGGGUAUGGUAGUAGGUGACUUUGAACGGGGUAUGGUAUUAGGUGACUUUGAACGGGGUAUGGUAGUAGGUGACUUUGAACGGGGUAUGGUAGUAGGUGACUUUGAACGGGGUAUGGUAAUAGGUGACUUUGAACGGGGUAUGGUAGUAGGUGACUUUGAACUGGGUAUGGUAAUAGGUGCCAGGCAAACCGGUUUGUGUCAAGAACUGCAAUGCCGCUGGGUUUUUCAUGGUCAAGAGUUUCCUGUGUGCUCCAAAAAUGGUCCACCACCCAAAGGACAUCCAGCCAUCUUGACACAACUGUGGGAAGCGUUGGAGUCAACAUGGGCCAGCAUCUAUGUGGAAUGCUUUCAAUGCCUUGAGGCUGUUCUGAGGGCAAAAGAGGGGGAUGCAACUCAGUAUUAGGAAGGUGUUAUUCAUGUUUUUUACCCUCGGUGUACAGUAUAUAGACAUACCAUGCAUUUCAAUGUGCAUAUGUAGGCAGUACAGUCAUGGUGAUAAACGUAAUGAACUGGGACAGCCAAUCAUUUCUGCACAUUUU
rnacentral:lncRNA from 1 species